UGUCAUAUGUGUGUUUGUGCCACUAUAUAGCAUCGUUUUUAGUGGCAUGUCUUUUUUGUGCCACUGUAUUAUUGUUAUUUUCAUUUUAGCGCUUAUGAUUCUACUAAAAUUAAAAACUUCCCGCCAGACCCAAUUUUGUUUUUCAUUUUCAUCUUUUAAUUUCCUUGUUUAUUUCCAUUUUUUUUUUGACAUAAUCCCCACCCCCAAAACGAGAACGUAAAGAAACCUUUGUCCAAAGUCAAUACGGUUGCUUUGGUGAACAUGAACACUUCGCUAGGGUUUAAUGGUGCUAGUAUGGCUUUUCGAGAUCAAAGAUGUCCUCAGUUUCUACAUGAACCGAUGACAACAAUUGGGUUCUUAUUAGCUUGAAAUAUGUCAUCUUCCACUCUUUCCUUGAUUUCUUUGGAACUCAUCAAAUCGAAGCUCAGUUUUUUUGUUGAUAGGGGAGAUUACACCACAUCAGCAGUCAUCGACUUUAUUAUCUGUGUCUGCCAUCUAAUUCUUCUCCUGCGAUUUCAUCAACAUCAGGCACCGAUUUCUCAUUCUUCUUCUUGUUCUGAUUUCCUCUUUUCUUUUGCAAGUUUUUAAUGCUAUAUUAUUAUAUAGUUGUGUUAAUGUUGAAGAAUUAUGGUUAUAGAUUAUCACAGGGUUAAGUCUCUUGUUGUUGAGAUCAUUGAAACAAAGAUGAAGAGAAGGUGUUUGAUGAAAUGCUCAAAUGAAGAAAAAAAAUCAUUUUACAGUGGGAUUAAACUAUAUAUUCCAACUCUGUAGUGUCUACGUAUAUUUUGAACUAAAAUGAAGUUUGCAAUGAAUUUAGAGCUUGUAUGAUUUCUUUACAAAAUCACAUUUAGCUUCUAAUUUGACCUACCAAUCUGUAUUGUAUCUUUGAUAAAUUAGGAUUUGAAUAACCCAUUGAUACAAAAUCAGCCUCAACCCCUCUGUAAUGUCGUUUGAAAAUAAAAUUGACAAAUCUUAUUUCAAUUUAUAUACAUCCAAACCUACCUCGGAAUGCUAAUGGUAUAUUUGUUACUAAUUAGAUUAGAAAAUUUUGAGUUUUGACUUCUACCACUAUAGAAUUAAAAAACAAUGAUGGUCAAUGGUUUUGUUGUGUAUGGUUGAUCUCUAUGUCCAACUUUAUAGUUUGUUCGUUUGUUAGCUACUUAGGUUAGUGAUUUGACUUCACUGGCCUAAUAUUGUUUAGUUUUUUCAAGUGUUUGUGUUGCAUCUGUUAUCUUGUAUCUUCACAACUUGUUGGUUCUUUGUUUUCAACAUAUUUUAGUUAACAAAUUUAUUUGCAUUUACUUUGACCAUUUUGGGUUUUGGAUUUCCAAAGUUCCCAAUCCCAUUGAAAUUAGUUGCAGGUUUUGGGUUUUCAGUUUCGUGAGUUCUAAUCUCACUGAAAUAUUGAUGUCUUGAACUUUAUCAUUAAUAUCAUAUUGGAAAAUUAAAAUAAUUGUUUUCAAUGUUUCUUGUAAGCUAACUAUCAUGUCCUAGUCUGUUAGUUAAGUUUGAAAAUUAAAGGACAAUAGAAUGAGUUAUUUUAUGCCACGCUGGUCUUUUAAACACGAAGGUUGUGUUGUCCAGGGUCCCAUAUUAUGUGCCAUAUUAUGUGGCAUAAGGUUUAAGGAUAAAAAUUUAAGUCGUUUUUUGAGGUCAAUGUUGUAUUACUAAAAAUUUAAAAUAAUUUAUAUUUUAUUGUAGGCUAAAGCUGCUUUUUUUAUCAAAGGACUACGUUAGAGAGCAUCAAAUUUUGCUAAAGUGAGUGAUUGUGUGGCUAGGGGAACAGGUAAACUCAACUUUUUUCUAAAACAAAAAUGAUUAAAAUUUAGCUUUGUUUGUUCUCGUAUUUGGGUCUAGAAAAUAUAUCAUUAAGGUUGAAUUUCAUAUAUAUCCUUACAAAGCUUAAAUAUUAAGUUUAUAUCCUUAUAAAUUUUAAAAUUACAUACAUUUCCGUUUAAAAUAAUAAAAUUUACAUUUAUAUCCAGAUUCCAGACUCAUGUAUUUUGAAUUUUAUUAUUUGUAAAAACAGUAAGAGAUAGAGUAUAAAGAACAUAUGAGGGUCAUGUAGUAUUAAGUAGUUGUAUAAACCUACUAGCGGUAGUGCAACUAAUUGAUGCAGUGGAUCUUCCAUGUUAACAUAUGGCUUAUAUUUAUUGGACUAACUGAGAAUAUAACAUGAUAUCUGAUUGGGACCUUUUGUUAUAAAUAUCCUUUGUAUGACAGCUAGCCUAACACUUACGUUGAUAGCUUGGUGAUUAAAUAUCGAUUACUUAAGUUGUACCUAUUAAUCUAAAAAUUGGAAAGAAGAGUUAUAUAUUGAUGCCAAAUAAGAACAAAAGUGAGAGUUAUAUACCAACAUGAAGGCAAGAAACGACGUGACUUCCACUAGUGACUUCCAAGUCUUCCACUAGUUUUGCUGGUGGUUCGUAAUUUGGAUGAACAAGAGGAGCAUUAUACAAAGUUAGAUUUCAAUCAAGUUUUAUUUAGUUUGAUAGUUUUAUGUUUUGAGGACUACCACAACAUUUAGACAUUUUUUUAAGACAUGUGUUUUAAGUAAUGUAUAAUAUUGUUAUGAGACACGUUAAAUGUAAAUUAAAGUAAUGAUAUCAUG